rnacentral:tRNA from 1 species
GCCUAGCUGGCUCAGUUGGUAGAGCAUCAGACCCUUGAUCUUGGGGUCAUGAGUUUCAGCCCCAUGUUGGGUG